GUAGGGUGCAAGCGUUAAUCGGAAUUACUGGGGCGUAAAGCGUGCGCAGGCGGUCCGCUAAGACAGAUGUGAAAUCCCCGGGGCUUAACCUGGGAACUGCAUUUGUGACUGGCGGGCUAGAGUAUGGCAGAGGGGGGUAGAAUUCCACGUGUAGCAGUGAAAUGCGUAGAGAUGUGGAGGAAGUACCGAUGGCGAAGGCAGCCCCCUGGGCCAAUACUGACGCUCAUGCACGAAAGCGUGGGGAGCAAACAGGAUUAGAUACCCUGGUAGUCCACGCCCUAAACGAUGUCAACUAGUUGUCGGGUCUUCAUUGACUUGGUAACGUAGCUAACGCGUGAAGUUGACCGCCUGGGGAGUACGGUCGCAAAGAUUA
rnacentral:rRNA from 1 species